CGGGUUUACUCCUGGUUUUUACCGUUUCGCCAAACCGAGGUUCGGCGGCGUUUUGGUGUCUGAUUCGGUAACGAAUCGGGAGCACCAUCUGCGUAGGCCAUCAGGCGAACCUGACAUUUAAAACGCGAGUCACCUACGGUCUUGGAUAGCCCCCGCCAGGCAGGGACCCCAAUCUUUCAAAGCCGGCAGCGCAUGGCUGCCG
rfam:Pseudomonas mendocina ymp, complete genome.